rnacentral:rRNA from 1 species
UGUAGGAAUUUUUUAAAACAUUUGUGGGGAGUGAUACGUUUUUGUUUCUUAGGGUAUCUAGAUUGUUUAGCUCAAAAGGGAAAACUUUUUAGAGUUUCAUAAAGUUAUAGGGUGUUUGUUUUCUUUAAAAGUAAGGUUAGUGUGUAAUAACAUAGAAGAAAGAUUUUUUUGGAAUUUUAUUUUUUUUUAUACUUAAAUAAUUAAUUAAUAGAUUAGUAGAAUUUAAAGAUUUUAUUUAUUUUUUAUUUUAUUAAGUAUGUAUUUAAAUUAUUAUUAUUUACUGAUUUUUUCUUAGACUGGUUAAUAAAAUCUUAGCUACAAAGUUUGUGGUUGUUUCUGCUCUAUGCUAAAAAGUAAAUGGCUGUUUUGAUACACUAAGGUAGCAAAAUCAUUAGCUAUUUAAUUGGUAGCUUGUAUGAAUGAAUUUUCUGGGAAUAUUAAUUAAUUUUUUUUUUGAAUUUAUAAAUUUGUUGAAAAUAACAAUUUUUCCCAUAAGACUAAAAGACCCUAAAAUUUUUAUAACUUUUGAAAAAGUUAUUUGGUUGGGGUAAUAAAAAAAAAUUAACAUUAUUUAAUUAUUUUUUUUUUGAACUUUUUUUAUUGAUAAAAGGUUUAAAUACUUUAGGGAUAACAGCUUAAUUAUCUUUUAGAGUUCUUAUUACUAAGAUAGUNUUAGACCUCGAUGUUGGAUUGAAAUUACUUUCUGGGGCAG